GACGAAGGAUGCAAGCGUUAUCCGGAUUCAUUGGGUUUAAAGGGCGCGUAGGUGGCCUUAUAAGUCAGUGGUGAAAUCCUGUUGCUUAACAACAGAAUUGCCAUUGAUACUGUAGGGCUUGAGUACAGAUGCCGUUGGCGGAAUAUGACAUGUAGUGGUGAAAUACAUAGAGAUGUCAUAGAACACCGAUUGCGAAGGCAGCUGACGAAACUGUAACUGACACUGAGGCUCGAAAGUGCGGGGAUCAAACAGG
rnacentral:rRNA from 1 species